UACAGGGUUUGGACUUUCAUAUACCAGAAAUUUGGUAACUCUCUACAGCGAAAUAUAAACUCAUAUUAGGAAAGUUCUAGGUGAUAGUCAAUGUCAACUAGUGUUGUAGAAGAGUGUAUUGAAAACCAGUAUAUACAAUUUUUAUAUGUGUGUGCAUAGAUUUUGGAUUGGAUAUUAGGGAAAUUUUUUUCACUGCAGGGGUUGUCAGACACCAGAAGGGGCUGCUCAGGACAGUGGUGGAAUCACCAUCCCUGGAGUUCUUAAAAAAAAUCUGUGAAUGUGGCACUUGGAGAGAUGGAUUAGUGAUGAACUAGGCAGUACAGGCUUAACAGUUGGACUUGUCUUUGAGGUCUUUUCCAACCUUAAAAACUCUAACAUCUAUGAUUCUUGGAUAUUCUCCAGGCAUCUGGUGAGAAUGAAAAGAACAACUGCACAAAGGGAAGACUGAGGCUCUCCACUUGUCUGCAUAAAAUCAAAGGUCUGCAGAGGGGGAAGGAAGAGAUCUGGAAGUGAGACUGCCAAAAGAUUAGGAUGAGGACACAAGAGAGGGGCAUCUGCUCCAGGCAGUAUAAAGAAUGCUGAAAUACAUUACCAACAUGCCAAGAGACAUUUCAAGCACAGCAAACACCAGUGCCCCUCAUGCAGUUGGAGCUCUUCUGUCAUCCACAAACAGAUGCAUAUUCUUCCCUUCAUCUUUCCAACACUCCAUGGACAAGUCUCUAUCAGUACACUACGGUAAGAUCACCAAACUGCUGGAAGUCUCCCUGUGCAGGAAAUCAUUUCCAGGCCUCCUGUUGAGGAACC